rnacentral:rRNA from 1 species
UACGGAGGAUCCAAGCGUUAUCCGGAAUCAUUGGGUUUAAAGGGUCCGUAGGCGGUUUGGUAAGUCAGUGGUGAAAGCCCUUCGCUCAACGGAGGAACGGCCAUUGAUACUGCCAGACUUGAAUUGUUGGGAAGUAACUAGAAUAUGUAGUGUAGCGGUGAAAUGCUUAGAUAUUACAUGGAAUACCAAUUGCGAAGGCAGGUUACUAUCAACACAUUGACGCUGAUGGACGAAAGCGUGGGGAGCGAACAGG